GCGGCCGCAGAUCCCGGCAACUUGCGAACCGGGAAAAGUUUGCGGCGCCUCCGCGGGGCGGCGCGACGCGGCCCGCCCCUCGCGUCCGCGGUCAUCGCGGGUGACUUUCUCGACUCGUCGUCAGCCGGGGCCGCAGCGCGGCCGGUGGGGACUGCGGGGCGGGCCGGAGUCCGUCCGAGGGCUCCCGCACCUCGGGCUGCGGAUUUCAGGUACUCCACUGGGCAUUUUCUCUUCAUGGAGCUUAUAGCAACAAAAGUGUUUUACAAAAGAACAUUAAAAUCUCCCCAGAUGCUCACUGCUCUGAUCAUUUCCCCUACAGCACCAGACAUGUUGGCAUCAUCUCUUAGUUGGGCCAUGUGGCCAGGGAACCCUUCAUGAAACCACCUCUGCAGUCCUGGAGAGUUGCUGUAGAAGAAGGAAAAGAGAGGAAGACAACACAACACAGGAGGGGAUAAGUACCUCUGGACACAAUGGA
rnacentral:lncRNA from 1 species